ACGGAAGGCAGCAGUGGGGAAUAUUGGACAAUGGGGGAAACCCUGAUCCAGCGACGCCGCGUGAGUGAAGAAGUAUUUCGGUAUGUAAAGCUCUAUCAGCAGGGAAGAUAAUGACGGUACCUGACUAAGAAGCACCGGCUAAAUACGUGCCAGCAGCCGCGGUAAUACGUAUGGUGCAAGCGUUAUCCGGAUUUACUGGGUGUAAAGGGUGCGUAGGUGGCAAGGCAAGUCUGAAGUGAAAGCCUGGGGCUCAACCCCGGAACUGCUUUGGAAACUGUUUAGCUAGAGUACAGGAGAGGAAAGCGGAAUUCCUAGUGUAGCGGUGAAAUGCGUAGAUAUUAGGAGGAACACCAGUGGCGAAGGCGGCUUUCUGGACUGUAACUGACACUGAGGCACGAAAGCGUGGGGAGCAAACAGGAUUAGAUACCCUGGUA
rnacentral:rRNA from 1 species